AGAGUUUGAUCAUGGCUCAGAUUGAACGCUGGCGGUAUGCUUAACACAUGCAAGUCGAACGCGAAAGCACUUUCGGGUGUAAGUAGAGUGGCGGACGGGUGAGUAAGGCAUGGGAAUCUGCCCUAUAGCGGGGGAUAACUUGGGGAAACCCAAGCUAAUACCGCAUACACCUACGGGUAAAAGAUGGCCUCUUCUUGAAAGCUAUUACUAUAGGAUGAGCCCAUGUAAGAUUAGCUAGUUGGUAGGGUAAAAGCCUACCAAGGCUACGAUCUUUAGCUGGUCUGAGAGGACGAUCAGCCACACUGGGACUGAGACACGGCCCAGACUCCUACGGGAGGCAGCAGUGGGGAAUAUUGGACAAUGGGGGCAACCCUGAUCCAGCAAUACCGCGUGUGUGAAGAAGGCCUGCGGGUUGUAAAGCACUUUUAUCUGUGAGGAAGGGUUUAAUGUUAAUACCAUUAGACAU
rnacentral:rRNA from 1 species